rnacentral:rRNA from 1 species
UACGGAGGGUGCGAGCGUUGUCCGGAAUCACUGGGCGUAAAGGGCGCGUAGGCGGCCUGAUAAGUAGGGGGUGAAAUCUUGCGGCUUAACCGCAAGGCUGCCUUCUAAACUGUCAGGCUAGAGCACAGUAGAGGCAGGUGGAAUUCCCGGUGUAGCGGUGGAAUGCGUAGAUAUCGGGAGGAACACCAGAGGCGAAGGCGGGUUACUGGGCUGAUACUGACGCUGAUGCGCGAAAGCCAGGGGAGCAAACGGG